rnacentral:rRNA from 1 species
AUACGUAGGGGGCGAGCGUUGUCCGGAAUGAUUGGGCGUAAAGGGCGCGUAGGCGGCCCGGUAAGUCUGGAGUGAAAGUCCUGUUUUUAAGAUGGGAAUUGCUUUGGAUACUGUCGGGCUUGAGUGCAGGAGAGGUAAGUGGAAUUCCCAGUGUAGCGGUGAAAUGCGUAGAGAUUGGGAGGAACACCAGUGGCGAAGGCGACUUACUGGGCCGUAACUGACGCUGAGGCGCGAAAGCGUGGGGAGCGAACAGGAUUAGAUACCCUGGUAGUCCACGCGGUAAACGAGGAAUGCUAGGUGUUGCGGGUAUCGACCCCUGCAGUGCCGGAGUAAACACAAUAAGCAUUCCGCCUGGGGAGUACGGCCGCAAGGUUGAAACUCAAAGGAAUUGACGGGG